rnacentral:ncRNA from 1 species
UAGGGAUAACAGGCUGAUCUUCCCCAAGAGUUCACAUCGACGGGAAGGUUUGGCACCUCGAUGUCGGCUCUUCGCCACCUGGGGCGGUAGUACAUUCCAAGGGUUGGGAUGUUCGCCCAUUAAAGCGGUACAUGAGCUGGGUUUAGAAUGUCGUGAGAUAGUUCGGUCCAUAUCCAGUGCGGGCAUUAGAGCAUUGAGAGGACCUUUCCCUAGUACGAGAGGACCAGGAAGGACGCACCUCUGGUGUACCAGUUAUUGUGCCCACGGUAGAUGAUGGGUAGCCAAGUGUAGAGCGAAUAACUACUGAAAGCAUAUAAGUAGGAAGCCCACCCCAAGAUGAGUGAUCUCCUAUUCUUACUUCCCUUAGAGCCCUAUUCAU